AGCAGCCGCGGUAAUUCCAGCUCCAAUAGCGUAUAUUAAAGUUGUUGCAGUUAAAAGCUCGUAGUUGAAUUUCGGGGUUAGUAGGUUGGUCAUGCCUCUGGUAUGUACUGGUCUCACUGAUUCCUCCUUCCUGACGAGCCGUAAUGCCAUUAAUUUGGUGUUGCGGGGAAUUUGGACUGUUACUUUGAAAAAUUAGAGUGUUUAAAGCAAGCUAACGCUUGAAUACAUUAGCAUGGAAUAAUGAAAUAGGACGUUCGAUCCUAUUUUGUUGGUUUCUAGGAUUGACGUAAUGAUUAAUAGGGAUAGUUGGGGGCAUUAGUAUUCAAUUGUCAGAGGUGAAAUUCUUGGAUUUAUUGAAGACUAACUACUGCGAAAGCAUUUGCCAAGGAUGUUUUCAUUAAUCAAGAACGAAAGUUAGGGAUCGAAGACGAUCAGAUACCGUCGUAGUCUUAACCAUAAACUAUGCCGACUAGGGAUCGGAUGAUGUUAAUUUUUAAUGUACUCAUUCGGCGCCUUACGG
rnacentral:misc_RNA from 1 species